CCGCGGGAUUUCCGGAGGUGAACCUGCGGAAGGAUCAUCCUCCUUAGAUUUAGCACAAUUCGCUUGAUUUCUUGUGUAUGGCCCUCUAGGGGAUGCUCAGUCGGGUGCCUCUUGCUGACACUAAUGGGCGUUGGGCUGGACAUGAUAUAUUGCAAUCUUGUCCGCUCCCAUCGUUUAUUUUUUUGCAUGCAAAUUUAUGCCGCAUCUUCUUAAUGUGUUUAUUAAGGAGUUUAUCAUUUUCAGCGAUGAAUGUCUCGGUUCGGGCAACGAUGAAGGGUGCAGCGAAGUGCGAUAAGCAUUGUGAAUUGCAGAUUUCUGUGAGCCGAUAGGGACUUGAACACAUAUUGUGCUUUUGGGAUAUCCCUAAAAGCAUAUGUGCUUCAGUGCCUCUUUAUAUUGAUCCUAAACAUCUUGCUUUAUGUUUAAAUAGAUUUUAUGGCUUGCUGUUUCUCACAUGCUGUUAACAUUCGUGUGGAUAUAUGUUUGAGGGUCUGUGAUUGACAAGACCGCUGUAUGUCAGUCAGCUUGCAAAUCUUUUGUAAAUGAAGCUGAUUGUGCUCGCGGCAUUGUGGGUCUUGCUGUCGCAAUUUUGUUGCAACAAGAAUUAUGUCAUGAAGUUAGACUUGCAAACUCGCUGAAUUUAAGCAUAUCAAU
rnacentral:rRNA from 1 species